GUCUCCGUAGCUCAGCGGAUCAGAGCGGACGGCUUCUACCCGUCGGGUCGCAGGUUCGAAUCCUGCCGGAGACA
rnacentral:tRNA from 2 species